GACGAACGCUGGCGGCGUGCUUAACACACGCAAGUCGAACGGAAAGGCCCUGCUUUUGUGGGGUGCUCGAGUGGCGAACGGGUGAGUAACACGUGAGUAACCUGCCCUUGACUUUGGGAUAACUUCAGGAAACUGGGGCUAAUACCGGAUAGGAGCUCCUGCUGCAUGGUGGGGGUUGGAAAGUUUCGGCGGUGGGGGAUGGACUAGCGGCUUAUCGGCUUGUUGGUGGGGUAGUGGCUUACCAAGGCUUUGACGGGUAGCCGGCCUGGGAGGGUGCCCGGCCACAUUGGGACUAAGGUAGGCCCCAGACUCCUACGGGAGGCAGCGGGGGGAAAUAUUGCACAAUGGGCGGAAGCCUGUGGCAGAAACGCCGGGUUCGGGAUGACGGCCUUCGGGUUGUAAACCGCUUUCGCAUGUAACGAGGCGUGAGUGACGGUAAUGGGUAAAGAAGCACCGGCUAACUACGUG
rnacentral:rRNA from 1 species